GAUGAAGAAGCAGCGAAAUGCGAUAAGUAAUGUGAAUUGCAGAAUUCAGUGAAUCAUCGAAUCUUUGAACGCACAUUGCGCCCAUUAGUAUUCUAGUGGGCAUGCCUGUUCGAGCGUCAUUAAGUCCACUUAAGCCCUGCUUAGUGUUGGGAGACUGCUCCAGCGGUGCUACCCUGUAGCUACCCUGCAGCUCCUCAAAGACAGCGGCGGAGUUGUGGUAUCCUCUGAGCUUAGUAACUUGUUCUAGCUUUCGAGUACACCACUUCCCCUGCCGUAAAACCCUUAAUUUUUAAUGGUUGACCUCGGAUCAGGUAGGAAUACCCGCUGAACUUAAGCAUAUCAAUAAGCGGAGGA
rnacentral:misc_RNA from 1 species